rnacentral:misc_RNA from 1 species
UGCAAAGAAAAAGCAUUCAAGAGUUUUCAUCAUUUUUAUCAAAUGUCUAUCGAAAUUCAACAAACAGGAUUAUUAACGAAAUAUUAUCUCGUAUUCUUACUUCUUGAAUAUUUCGUAGCCAGUAGGAUAAAUGAUUGAAACUUUCUAAGCUAGUGACGUCAUACAUCAGAAGGAUACCCAUGGCACCGCGAUAAUAAGCUGUUGUUAGC